GCCGAAUUGGCUAAGUUUUUAGAGCAACGCAUUCGUAAUGCGUGGUUCGUCGUUUCGAGUCCGCCAUUCGGCU
rnacentral:tRNA from 1 species